CGGAGCCUCCAGUGACGUGCGAGUGACCGCGGCUGCCCGAGCUACAACCGCCUCUCAACUGUUCGCCAGCAGGCAUGUUCGACACGCCGAGGAUGUGGCGACAGCUGUGCGUGAUCGUCGUGGUAUGCGCGCUUGUGUGCUGCGACCUUAAGAGAGCCAAUAGUGGGCGCCAGGUGCGGCAGGACAGCGGCUUCUACCUCAGCGGGCGCUACGGCCGCUCGCUGCAGACCGUGCUCUCCGCCAGGAACGACAGGUUCUUCUUGGGCCAGCGCUAUGGCAAGAGAUCGUCUGCUCCGAGUGCCACCCUCGAGCGUUGGAAGAGAAACAUGUGUGAGUGUGCGCCGUCCCAUCUGUACACGAGGAGCGGAAGCCACAGAAGACCAGGAGUAGUGGUGUGAGUACCGUACCGUGACGUCACUGGCAGCUGCAUCACCAACACGGCCCCACGAGCCCGCGCCUUCCACACCUGAAUACAAUUAAUACUUUUAAAAAUUAAUAUUAAUUAUUAUUCAUAAGUGUAUUUGUUAUAUGUGACAUACCGACCGGUCUACAUCGACUUAACAAUUAAUGUUACGGUAAUGAUAGAACAAGAAUAAUACUGUCAUUGUAGCCUGAUGCAGUAGGUCUUGAACACCACUCUCGAUUUUGGAAAUAUCAAUUUAUAAAAAUAUAAGCCGCCGCCCGCCAUUCAGGUAAAAUUAAAUAGUUGAAGUCCUUUUUACCCGCUUUUUAUUAGCUUCACUUGUUUGUUUGUAACCGACUCAUUUGGGCG